GUUAGCGGCGGACGGGUGAGUAACACGUGGGUAACCUGCCUGUAAGACUGGGAUAACUCCGGGAAACCGGGGCUAAUACCGGAUGGUUGUUUGAACCGCAUGGUUCAAACAUAAAAGGUGGCUUCGGCUACCACUUACAGAUGGACCCGCGGCGCAUUAGCUAGUUGGUGAGGUAACGGCUCACCAAGGCGACGAUGCGUAGCCGACCUGAGAGGGUGAUCGGCCACACUGGGACUGAGACACGGCCCAGACUCCUACGGGAGGCAGCAGUAGGGAAUCUUCCGCAAUGGACGAAAGUCUGACGGAGCAACGCCGCGUGAGUGAUGAAGGUUUUCGGAUCGUAAAGCUCUGUUGUUAGGGAAGAACAAGUACCGUUCGAAUAGGGCGGUACCUUGACGGUACCUAACCAGAAAGCCACGGCUAACUACGUGCCAGCAGCCGCGGUAAUACGUAGGUGGCAAGCGUUGUCCGGAAUUAUUGGGCGUAAAGGGCUCGCAGGCGGUUUCUUAAGUCUGAUGUGAAAGCCCCCGGCUCAACCGGGGAGGGUCAUUGGAAACUGGGGAACUUGAGUGCAGAAGAGGAGAGUGGAAUUCCACGUGUAGCGGUGAAAUGCGUAGAGAUGUGGAGGAACACCAGUGGCGAAGGCGACUCUCUGGUCUGUAACUGACGCUGAGGAGCGAAAGCGUGGGGAGCGAACAGGAUUAGAUACCCUGGUAGUCCACGCCGUAAACGAUGAGUGCUAAGUGUU
rnacentral:rRNA from 1 species